GGGACUGCAGUGGUGGAAGCUAGAUAGUGGACCCAUGGGGGCAGGGAGCAGAGAGAGGGGCAUGUGUACCGGAGAGAUAAGGAUGGCUUCUAGAGCAAUGGGGACAGAUGGAUGAGGCAGGGGCCCGGGGGGGGAUUCCCCCGCACUUCCCUGCAGGGCUGCAGGCACUCUCCUCUGCUGGGAACUGGGCUCUUCUCCCUAGGCUCAGCUCUCCCCUCCUACACAGCUCCAGAAAUACUUACAGGCAGGCAGAUUCAUCAUAAAACUUCACGGUGCUGUUUAUACAGCUCCUAAACAACUGGCUUCUCCCCCUCAUUCCUUCCCUGGUUAUUGGCGCGCGUCCGGAGAGCUCUGCUCGAGCAUCUGCAGCCUCGCCACUGCGAUGGUGUCUCUGCUCGCUUUGGCCAGCCCCCCCUGAGCCCAGGUCACCUGCACCACCGGCACUGUCGGAGCCGGCCGCUCCGCUGGUAGCGGGCCGGUGGCUGGCUGAAGCCCCUCCGCAUGCAGAGGAGCUGCUUGUGGCACUUGCAGUUGGGUUUGGUGACCUUUUGCACAUGUGCUUUGGGCUCCUUGGUCCCAGGACUCUGCCGAGCUUAAUUUGUCUUGACCGCAGGAUGUAAAGAGCACGGGACAAGGACAGGGUAAAGUUACAGAAGUCUCUGAAGUAACUCACAAUUCAGUUAUGAGGAAGGGGGUUUCUUGGUUUAUUUAGAGCUGUACUUAUGCAUAAAGCUGCCCUUUUCUAGAGGAGCGUUACACCUGCUUCUUUUUUGGUUACUCUCACUUUUGGUUUGAGCAUGUAUGAAUCUGGACUUUUUGAGCUGUCACAGUUUGGAUCAGCCUUGAAGAACCUUCACGACAGUCCUGCUGUUUACAGGGGACUUGGGGCUUUAGCUGAGCGCUGUGCAGCAUUUCAGUUUCUCUACUUGUUCUCAGUUAUAGUAGUUCCCCUGUUGCCACUUUUUGCUCUGCCUCAGGAGAUAUGAGACAGAGAGCUGAGCUAGACGUUGCUCGGUAGGGUUUCAUAUUUGCUAAUGUGAUAUUUAAUCUUUCAAAGCUGUGGGAUGAUUUAUAACAGGAUUAUUUGCAUCUCUUUUUUUUAUUGUCAGGGAAGACCAAAGAUCAUCCCUUAUAUUUUUGCAGUAAGGGCUUUAUAUAAGAGCAGAAGGAACACAUGGUGGUUUUAACGUUUAUUAUACAACCCUAUCAAAGGGCCUCAUGGUCCCAGCCAGUACCACAGGUGCCUGUGGUGCCAGGUGAGGGAUCUGGCCUUUGUCCUUGCAAAUCACACAUCCCUUUUGUUUCUUCCUGUCUCAAGGUCUGUCAUUACAACAUCUCUUAUUAUUACCCUAGGUCAGGGGAAGUACACGCUUUUAACAGCUGCUAAUACAAACUCCUGUUACCCAGGAGGACACAGCACUCUUCUGCAGGAACGGGCGUUCCCUCGCUCGUUCCGGAGCUGUGCCUCCAGAUGCUGCUCUGCUGUUUGCUGGAUUCCACAGAGGAAAGCUGGAUGCCGCCAGGAGUGUCCUUCACAGGCCCAUCCACCAUGCCGAGAGCGGCCAUCCCAAGAGCAUGUCACUGCAGAAGCAGCUCAUCCCUCGUGCUGGUUUGAAAGAGCUUGCAGGUCUUUACCAUGUUAACCUGGCCACAGGCAGCCAUCGCAGUCUACCUGUUGCUGAUUUUGCAGGGGUCCUCUGCAGUGGUGGAAAUCACAGAAAGAAGAGUUGCAGCUGAAGGGUCCUCCAUAAUGAUGCACGCACCAGAUAUCAAGAACGUAAACUUCACCGAGUGGGAAUACAUAAGAAACACCACACUUGAAGUCAUCCUGCAGUACUAUGCAGAUUACCCAUCUCCAACCAUUUAUGCAGCUUACCAAGGUAGAGUGGUCUUCUUUCCAAAGAAUGGCUCGAUUCUCCUGCAGAGGUUACGAGAGACAGACAGCGGCAUCUAUAAAGCAACAGUAGAUCUGAUGCAGGAUAAAGCUUGGACAACCCUCCUUGAAGUUAUCAAGCCUGUGCCCCAGCCUGAGCUCCGGUACAGUUCAAACCUGGCAGGUUCGCCCAUUGAGCUGGUCUGCAUGGUGCCAGAGGGAACAGUGGCUUCCAUCUCCUGGAAGAAGGAGGGACAUCCCCUUCCCCCUGAACAGUGCCAUCUGCUCUCUGGAAACAUCAGCGUGCUGCAGAUAAGGAAGGGAGAGAAGUCGGACUGUGGCUCCUACUCCUGCAAUGUCAGCAACGUGAUAAGCUGGAAGGAGACAGUCCUGAACCUGACCGUGACAGGUCUCACGCCUCCUCUACGCCACGUGGAGAGGGUGGCCAUCGUCGUGCUGAUGUUCGUCACCGUCUCUGCCACCAGCUUCAUCACUAUCCUGUUCUGUCAGCUGAGGAAGCAUGGGUUCGGAAAGGAAGCAUGGAAACAUAGCCUUCUGUCCGCCUAUGGACUGCUGUGUAUCUCCUCUCUCCUCCUGUUUGCCGCCUCCAUCAUCUGGAUGCUGGAAGAAGGUCCUUCCGCUGCCUUCGUCUUGCUUGGGCUGUUCUUCCUUACUGCGGCAAUAGGAACUGCCCAGGCAGCAGCAGCAGCGGUGUGGAGACCAGUGGCUCCCGGUCACAUCAAAAUGUGGCACUGUAUCAUCCGGAACUCUACAGCCCCCACAAUACUGAUCGUCAACUUGUUGAUCACCAUCCUCUUGCUCCACAAUAUCCAGCAGCUCCAUGGUAAAGGGUGGCCUGGAGCGAGGCUGCUCAGAGGCCACUGAUCUGACGACCAGCUGUGUCUUUGCUGGUGUAACAAUCCUCGUAAUACUGCUGGUCCUCCUCCUAUUGUAUCACAGGAAUAAGCAGAAGGAGAUGAUGAUGAAAAAACAGCAUGCCAUCCGGACCGCACAAAUCAUGGCCACCUUGCAGGUGAUGGAAGAAACCCAAGUACAGAGGCAAGAAGGGUAGUAAAUGGUCGUCCCUCCGCCACCCGGGGAGCUGUGCUCACACACCACGGGCAGCUGGGGAAGAGCCCCAAGAAGCUGGGAAGAUGCCGUCGGCCGAAGCAAGGCAUCUUCUGUAAGCUCUGCCUCUACCCUAGUGCUAGCGGGGCAGUGCUUUUGGCAAAAAUCUUGCCAAAAAUGUUGCCACCCAGCUAUCCGAGCUGUAGCUCCAGGUGGCAAAUGAUACAUUCCACACCCACUUUCCCUGCCCUCUGUUCGUAAAACCCAGGCUAAGAGAAAGUACAAGCCAUUGCUCUUACUAAUGCUGGUUAUCACCCGAGCAGGGGCAGCUUUUCCAUGAGCCAGAAAUUGUCUCAGACUCCAAACCGGAGGUUAACCAUCCUAAUGCUGUCACACCACGCACCUCCUUUUUUUAAUAUGUUAAUAAGACAACAGAAAAAAAAAAAAAAGCCAAAAAGAC